rnacentral:lncRNA from 1 species
GCCGAAUAUUUCUUUUUGUUCCAAUUGGGUCCCUCCCUGCGCAGCGCAUUGGAAGGAUGGGAUAAUAUCCCUUUUGGUCCUCCAUGGAUACGCGCGCGUUCGAGUGGGUCCCUUUUUCUCUUUUUUAAGAAUUUUUUAUUUUAAAUUUGCCCCAUUGUUUCGUUUGUAACUCAAUUUAAUCCAUUUUUUUCAUAAUUAUGC